UAUGGCGACCGGCGCACGGGUGAGCAACACGUAUCCAACCUGCCGAUGACUCGGGGAUAGCCUUUCGAAAGAAAGAUUAAUACCCGAUGGCAUAGUUCUUCCGCAUGGUAGAACUAUUAAAGAAUUUCGGUCAUCGAUGGGGAUGCGUUCCAUUAGGUUGUUGGCGGGGUAACGGCCCACCAAGCCUUCGAUGGAUAGGGGUUCUGAGAGGAAGGUCCCCCACAUUGGAACUGAGACACGGUCCAA
rnacentral:rRNA from 1 species